GGAGGGACACAGUCGGGGGCCGAGCAGGCAUUUUGCGGGAGACGGCGGAACUGCCUGGAAAAGGGGGGUGUCCCUCAGCGGUGGAUCUGGGAGGCGGGGAGACGUCUCUGAGGGAGGAAGUGAAGAAAUAGACAUGAUGACCUAAUCAACCACCAUCAGUAAUUUCAAAAACCGAGAACUGGUAGUGAUUACCAGGGACAUUCUCUAGAAGAAGAGUAAUGAGAAGUAACCUUCUCCAUUAUAUAUUAAAAUACAUUAUCAAACAACAAAAUUUAUAACAGCAGAACAUAGACCGAGGGGGUGCACUGAUAGCUCAAUGGCAUGGAAUAAAGUGUGGAAAUACGGAUCCAGGAACGGAUGAGGAUUUAGUAUGUUACCAGGAUAGCAUAUCCACGUGGUGAGAGAAGAGACUCUUCAGUAAGUGGCUUAAAGACAACUGGAUAGCUGUUUGGAUAGAAAAAGAGACAAGGCAGCAUUCAUGAAGCUCUACUUUUCUCUUUUUCUCUGCUGUGUACUAUUCUAUUUCAGUAUAGCAUGGGUUAGUAAGUUAUAUUCCUAUUGAUGUGCUUUUAGGCUCUUCCUUUUUGUUAUAAACAAUAACGUGAAGAGAUAAUUUUUAUAUAGCAUCUUGGGACAAACGUGUAAAUUGUUCUCUAGUGCAGAUGCAGAGAUGUGAAAUUGCUGGUUCAGAAUGCACGUACUUUUUUUUUUUUUAAUGUAUGUUCUCAGGUUGGAGCCCCCAACCCGGGGCUUGAACUCAAGACCCUGAGAUCAAGACCUGAGCUGAGAUCAAGAGUUGGACACUUAACCGACUGAGUCACCCAGGCACGCCUACUCCCCCCCAACUCCUUACUAUUAUUAUUAUUUAAGCUUAAUUUUUUUAAUGUUUAUUUAUUUUUGAGAGAGAGAAAGAGUGCAAGCGGGGAGGGGGGCAGAGAGAGAGGGAGACACAGAAUCCAAAGCAGGCUCCCGGCUCUGAGCUGUCAGCGCAGAGCCCGACGCGGGGCUCGAACUCACAGACCGUGAGAUCGUGACCUGAGCCGAAGUUGGACACUUAACCGACUGAGCCACCCAGGUGCUCUGUUAUUAUUAUUUUUUAUUAAGGACUGCUUCAUUUCCAUUUUGAAAUCCCAGACGAACUCCAGCAACAGGGGACAAGAAAACAGGCAUGAAAUAAGCUCAAAUAAAAUGGAUGGAUCAAGUUAAUAAAAAUAAAAGCAGAAAUAAAUGAAACAAACAAACCAAGAACAAUAGUUGAGAUGAUCACUAAAACCCAAAGCUGGAGUUUCUGAAAGAAUGAUACGCACAUACCAACUUCCUGCAUGUAGGAUGAAGGCAAAGAGAGAAGACACACGUGAUAUGAUGCAGGACGAGAGGGCACGGACACAGAGGAGAUUCUUAAAAUUAGGAGACUUCUUCGUGCAGCAUCCUAGCUGAAGUCAGAGGGUGAGGUAAGAGCCGCAAAUAAGGAAAGUUGCCGGAGAAAUUCUUUUGUAAGCUGGGCUGAUGUUGGAGGUAGAUAUGCUCUUGCAAAAAUCUAACGAUUUUUCUUCUUUGAAUCCCAUCGUUAUUUUUUUGGUUCAUGGCCGACUUAUGUGAAAAAUGUCUUUAAACUAUUGAAUUACCCUCAGAGCGAGAUGCUCAAAGGUAGAAACGGACUGACCGUGUGGAUAGCAGUCACAUCUUGCUCGUGUGAGGCAUAACUUCUUUAACUGGAAUGACAAGAGGAAUUAUCCACGUGGUUUAAAUUGUUAGGCUCCCUUUUCCCUUCUUUUCUUUAAAAAGAUUUUUUAAAAAAUGUAAUAGAGCAUACAUAGCAAAUUCACAUAAUAAAUGUGUGAAUGAUAUGAUCCAGCUAUAUAACUUCAUACCAAUCCGUUUGAAAACCUAGAUAAAAUGGACAAAAAUGUCAAGGAGAUUAUAAGUUACCAAAAAUUGGUCCAAGAAAGCCAAUAGAAAACACUUACAAAAAACAGAAAUGGUGGUUAAGGGCCCAUCUACCAAUAUGCCCCUCCCUCCCUAUCACCCAAUACUCAAGCCUUUUGUAGUUAUAAGUCAAGUUCUACCAAAUCUCAGAGGGGAGCUCGCUCACAUCUUACAUUUCAGAGCUUAGAAAAACACAGGGACCCACCAAUCUUAUUUUGUCAGGCUAGUGUAUUUCUGAUUUCAAGACAAGAAACUACAAUUACAGGCUAAUCUCACUUAUGAAUGUAGAGGCCAGAACUCUAAAUAAUACCAGAUAAUUGAAUCUAGUCGUGUAUUAAAAGAAUAAUAGAUCUUGAUCAAGUAGGAUUUAUCUGAGAAAUUCAAGUUGGGGAAUCAAUGGAGAUAUCAAUGUACCUGACUGUAUUUAGGGAUUAAAGGGGGGAAACCAUUCCAUGGGUACUGGGGAGACGGUUGCUAAAAUGCAACAUCUUUUCUAGAUAGAAAUAGAAAUAGUCAUAAAGGGUAUCUACCAUAAAUAUACAGCAAAUUUUUUUUUUAACGUUUUUAUUUUAUUUUUUUUGAGACAGAGAGAGACAGAGCAUGAAUGGGGGAGGGUCAGAGAGAGGGAGACACAGAAUUGAAACAGGCUCCGGGCUCUGAGCUGUCAGCACAGGGGCCCGAUGCGGGGCUCGAACUCACGGACCGCAAGAUCGUGACCUGAGCGAAGUCGGCGCUCAACCGACUGAGCCACCCAGGCGCCCCAGCAAAUAUUUUUUUUAUUGAAGUGUAAAUGACACGCAAUGUUACAUUAGUACAACAUUGUGACUUGACAACUGUAUACAUGAUGCUAUGCGGCUACUAUCUGUUCCCACGCGAUGCUGUUACAAUACCAUCCACUAUAUUCCCUGAGCUAAUAGACAGCAAAUGUUACCCUUAAUGGUGAAUCUUUAGAAACAUUGUCGUUAAGGUAAGAAGCAACACACGGAUGCCUGCCUUAACUACCAAUGAUUACAAUGCUACUGAGGGCCUACCCAAGGCAACAGGACGAAAUAAAUGUGAGGAGAUAAAUACUGGACAGGAAUAUAGAAUUUACGGAAUGGCAUUGACGGAAACGUGAGCACAAAGUUCUCUCUGCUCUCUUUGCUGUCAGUGACACUUAAAAAAACAAACACACAAACCCAAACCACGUAAGGAGCAUAAUAUAUUUCCUCUUCUGUAACUCGAUUAUAUACAUGGCAUAUCUCUGUAUGGGCACACAUACAUUAGGUGAAUUAAUGCAGUUUGUUUAAGUAGGUCCCUACUGAUGAAUGUUGAUUUCUUCCAAUUUGCGAGGUGGGGGGUGGGGGUGGAGGAAUAUUGUAAACACUUCUUUUCCUUUGAGUCAUUGUAUCUGAGGGUUAGAUGUCUAGAUCUUGAAUUGCUAGAUUAAAAACAGCCCAGAUGUCUUUCAGCAAGUGAAUGGGUAAGCAGAUUCUGGUUUGCUUUGCAUUCCAAGCCAUGGAAUACACCCCAGCGAUAAAAAGGAACAGGAUACAGGGGCGCCUGGGUGGCUCAGUUGGUUAAGUGUCCGCCUCGGCUCUGGUCAUGAUCCUUGCAGUUCAUGAGUUUGAGCCCCGCGCUGACAGCGCGGAGCCUGGAGCCUGCUUCAGAUUCUGCGUUUCCCUAUCUCUUUGCCCUUCCCCUGCUCACACUCCGUCUCUCUCUCUCACUCAGAAUAAAUAAACAUUAAACAGUUUUUUAAUUAGAAUAAUUUAAAAAUUUAAAAAAAAAUGAACGGACUACACAACUGGGAAGAAACUAAGGAAUUAUGUUGGGUGAAAAAAGCCAAUCCCAAAAGGUUACAUGCUAUGUAAUUCUUUUUAUAUAUAACAUUUGUAAGUGACACAAUUUAGAAAUGGAAGACAACUCAGUGAUUGCCAGGGGUUAGGGAUGGGGUGGGAUAGGAUGUGGAGAGUCAUGGGGGGAGGUAGGGCUGGUCAAAAAAGGCAACAGAGAUGAUCCUUGUGGUGAUGGAACUGUGCAGUGUAUCUUCAUUGUCGUGGUGAAUCCUAAUGGGGAUAGGUGAGUCCAAAUGUGAAAUUGUAUAGCACUAAACACACACACACACACACACACACACACACACACACACACAGACACACACACACACACGUACAAGUAAGAAGGGAAAUCUCAACCUUAAUGCCAAUAUCCCGACUGUGAUACUGGACUCUAGUUUUGCAAAAUAUUAUCUCUGGGGAUACUGGGGUAAAGAGUACACGGGAUCUCUUUGUAUUCUUUUGUGUGAAUCUACAAUUACCUUUAAAUCUAUAUUAAAAAAUUUUAAAAACA